GGUGAGUAACGCGUAUGCAACCUGUCCGUUACAGGGGGAUAGCCCAUGGAAACGUGGAUUAACACUCCAUAAUAUAAUAUAGAGGCAUCUUUGUAUUAUUAAAUAUUCAUAGGUAACGGUUGGGCAUGCGUCCUAUUAGAUAGUUGGGGGGGUAACGGCCCACCAAGUCGAUGAUAGGUAGGGGUUCUGAGAGGAAGGUCCCCCACACUGGUACUGAGACACGGACCAGACUCCUACGGGAGGCAGCAGUGAGGAAUAUUGGUCAAUGGGCGAGAGCCUGAACCAGCCAAGUCGCGUGAGGGAUGACUGCCCUAUGGGUUGUAAACCUCUUUUGUAUGGGGGGAAUAAGCUUUACGAGUAGAGUGAUGACAGUACCAUACGAAUAAGCAUCGGCUAACUCCGUGCCAGCAGCCGCGGUAAUACGGAGGAUGCGAGCGUUAUCCGGAUUUAUUGGGUUUAAAGGGUGCGUAGGCGGCAUUAUAAGUUAGUGGUAAAAUAUUGGGGCUUCACCUCACUACGCCAUUAAUACUGUAGAGCUAGAGAACAGACGAGGUAGGCGGAAUAAGUUAAGUAGCGGUGAAAUGCAUAGAUAUAACUUAGAACACCGAUAGCGAAGGCAGCUUACCAGACUGAGUCUGACGCUGAUGCACGAGAGCAUGGGUAGCGAACAGGAUUAGAUACCCUGGUAGU
rnacentral:rRNA from 1 species